rnacentral:rRNA from 1 species
ACUGGGACUGAGAUACGGCCCAGACUCCUACGGGAGGCAGCAGCUAAGAAUCUUCUACAAUGGACGAAAGUCUUAUAGAACGACGCCGCGUUGGUUAUUAAGGCCGGAAGGUUGUUAAGCGCCUUUUCUAAUCGAAGAAUAACCCUAUGAGGCAAUGGCUGUUGGAUGACGGUAGGGUAUGAAUUAGGCCCGCGGCAAUUAAGUGUCAACAGGCGCGGGUAACACGUAAUGGGCCGAGCGUUGUUCGGAAUCAUUGGGCGUAAAGGGCGCCUAAGGGGAUAUUCCAGCUUGGUGUGAAAGAACGCAGGUCAACUGCGGGAACGCGCUGAGAAACUGUUAUCUUGAGGUUCCAGAAGGGGAAGCUGGGAUUUCCAGGUGUAGGGGUGAAAUCUUGUAGAUAUCUGGAAAGAACAUCAAGUGGCGAAGGCGAGCUUCUUGGCUUUGAACUGACGCUGAGGCGCGAAAAGCGUGGGGAGCGAACAGGGAUUAGAUACCCUUGGUAGUCCACGCUGUAAACGAUGCGACACAAGGUGUUGGCCCGUUGAAGGCUCAGCCCUGUACCUAACGCGUUAAGCGCACCGCCUGGAGAAUAUGCUCGCAAGAGUGACACUCAAAGGAAUUCACGGGGCCCCACACAAGCGGUGGAACAUGUGGUAAAAUUCGAUGAUACGCGAGACACCAUACCAGGGCGAGAUAUAUACAGGAAUGCGCAUGAGAGUGCACACCCCUUCGGGGUCUGUAUACAGGUGCUAGCAUGGCUGUCGUCAGCUCGUCCCGUGAGGUUUUGGAUAUAAGUCCCGCAGCGAGCGCAACCCCUGUUGUCUGUCGACCAGCAUUUCAGGAUGGGGACUCAGACAAGACUGCCUGGUCGACAAACCGGAGGAAGGUGGGGAAGACCUCAAGUCAUCAGGGCCCUUAUGUCCGGGGCAACACACGUGCAACAAUGGCCGGUACAAAGCGAAGCAAAACCGCGAGGUGGAGCAAAACGCAAAAAGCUGGUCUCAGUUCGGAUCGGAGUCU